ACGCGUGCGGUGGGUGCCCGGCUUAAGGGUAUGCAGCGACUACUUUGAAGGCACUGACUACCAAGGUGACCGUCUCAAGCCUGGAGCUGUACCCACCGUUUUUCCAUCAUUGGUCGAACCGCUCAAGUUCGGCAUAUCGCAAGAAACGGAUCACAGCAAUCAACUUUGGUUUGGUCUUGGCAGCAGUCAAGCGGAAGUCUUACCCUCCUUCCUUGUUCAAAACCCUGCUUGGCCAGUACAACCUCAAAUAAGGAUCUAAAGCAUGUGAUUGAGGAAUCCUCCGUGAGCCAAGGGCAAAGCAGCGAUACACGGAGCACACUGGUGUCGUUAUCCAGGAGAGGGGACUGUUCCUGUCUGACAGCGGCUUGCUCGGUGAAUCUCCGGAUGGGACAGUAUCUGGUGAUUGCAUUAUUGAGGUGAAGUGUCCGUGGUCAGCCAGAACCAGGACUAUCCUGCAGGCAGCAGACAGUAGGGACUUUUUCUGGAGUUGGAUGAAGUGACUGGUUCCCUGACACUAAAACAGACUCAUAACCACUGGCAUCAGAUCCAGGGCAACCUACACCUGACCAGAGCUAACAGUUGUCACCUACUUGUAUGGACUCCUCUUGACCUUGUCAUCCUGCCAGUGCUCAAAGACCCAACAUGGGCUGUUAAACAUUGUCACUCUGGAAAUAUUUUAUAAAGAUUGUUUCCUACCAAACAUUCUGUCACAGUUGUAAGUUAAUACCUGCACAUGUAUUUACCCCGAAUUCAUGAUCUGUACUAAUGUCCUUUGAAUUAAUUGUGACAGUUAUAAUAAAUGAAGUUUUGGCACUUCA